GACGAACGCUGGCGGCGUGCUUAACACAUGCAAGUCGAACGGAAAGGCCCUGCUUUUGUGGGGUGCUCGAGUGGCGAACGGGUGAGUAACACGUGAGUAACCUGCCCUUGACUUUGGGAUAACUUCAGGAAACUGGGGCUAAUACCGGAUAGGAGCUCCUGCUGCAUGGUGGGGGUUGGAAAGUUUCGGCGGUUGGGGAUGGACUCGCGGCUUAUCAGCUUGUUGGUUGGGUAGUGGCUUACCAAGGUUUUGACGGGUAGCCGGCCUGAGAGGGUGACCGGCCACAUUGGGACUGAGAUACGGCCCAGACUCCUACGGGAGGCAGCAGUGGGGAAUAUUGCACAAUGGGCGGAAGCCUGAUGCAGCAACGCCGCGUGCGGGAUGACGGCCUUCGGGUUGUAAACCGCUUUCGCCUGUGACGAAGCGUGAGUGACGGUAAUGGGUAAAGAAGCACCGGCUAACUACGUG
rnacentral:rRNA from 1 species